UGCAACCCGACUGCACGAAGCUGGAAUCGCUAGUAAUCGCGGAUCAACAUGCCGCGGUGAAUACGUUCCCGGGUCUUGUACACACCGCCCGUCACACCAUGGGAGCCGGAAAUGCCCGAAGCCUGUGACCCAACCCGCGAGGGGGGGGAGCAGUCGAAGGCGGGGCCGGUGACUGGGGUGAAGUCGUAACAAGGUACC
rnacentral:rRNA from 1 species